rnacentral:rRNA from 1 species
AUUUUACUUACACAAAAUAAAACANNNUUUAAGCUUAGUAAAGGAGAUAAAAAAGUUUUUUAGAGCUAUAAAAUAAGUACCGCAAGGGAAAAAUGAAAUAAAAAUGAAACAAAAUUCAAGCAUAAUAUAGUAGAGUUUUCCCCUCGUACCUUUUGCAUCANGAUUCAACUAGUUUAACCACGCAAAAAGAAUUUAAGNNNGACUUCCCGAAACUAAGUGAGCUACUUCAGGGCAGCUAAAUGAGCCAACCCGUCUCUGUUGCAAAAGAGUGGGAUGACCCUUAAGUAGAGGUGANAAACCUAACGAACUUAGUGAUAGCUGGUUAUUCAGAAAAAGAANUUNAGUUCAACUUAAAAUUACAUAAAUAAAAUAAAAUAAAAUUUUAAUUUUAAAGCAAUUCAAAUAAGGNACAGCCUAUUUGAAAUAGAANACAAUCUAAACUAUAGGGNAAAUAUAAAAAAUUAANGNAAUAAAGUAGGNNU